rnacentral:rRNA from 1 species
CUUGGCGAUCACAGGCGAUGAAGGACGCGGUAGCCUGCGAAAAGCUUCGGGGAGCUGGCAAACAAGCUUUGAUCCGGAGAUGUCCGAAUGGGGAAACCCGGCCCGUAUGGGUCAUCCCACACUGAAUCCAUAGGUGUGGGAAGCGAACGCGGCGAACUGAAACAUCUAAGUAGCUGCAGGAACAGAAAUCAACCGAGAUUCCCAAAGUAGUGGCGAACGAAAUGGGAAGAGCCUUGUACUCUUUAGCAGUGUUGUUAGCAGAACGGGAUGGAAAGCCCGGCCCUAGCAGGUGAUAGCCCUGUAUGCGAAAACAGCGUUGUGGAACUAGGUGUACGACAAGUAGGGCGGGACACGUGAAAUCCUGUCUGAAGAUGGGGGGACCAUCCUCCAAGGCUAAAUACUCGUGAUCGACCGAUAGUGAACCAGUACCGUGAGGGAAAGGCGAAAAGAACCCCGG